rfam:Gossypium raimondii chromosome 4, whole genome shotgun sequence.
AUCUCAUGAUGAGGACACUUACAAAGCAAUUCCUUGAAUCUUUCCCAAGCCUCACACAAAUACUCAUCAUCCAAUUGUUGGAAAGUAGUUAUCACAUUACGCAAUUU